rnacentral:misc_RNA from 1 species
GAUUAGUGCGUCGGCGUUUGCCAUUUGUACGCUAUCAGCAGACGAUGGACUGUUGCGAAGAUGUUGAUAAACCAACGGUCCAAUGACGGUGUUGGCAGUUUAUCAUGAAUUAUCACAUGAAUCAGAGGCAAACUAAGGGAUGUUGUGAAGAUACCAUGUUGGAUUUAAGCAAGAUGGCGAUUCCUGACUUGGCCAUUACAUGGACAGACUUUAACGUUUGGUUUGGACUCGCUGCAUUGUGGUUAACUCCUUUCACCUGGAAUGUUGUUGCAAGACUUGAAUACAGAACACAGUUCCUGACAAAGCUGUUUGGGAACCCCCGACUUGCAUGUACAGCCCUGGCCCUGUGUAUUAUCUCCGCCACUCUCUACAAGAGUUACAGGUUCAAGAUGGCAAUGGACAGUCAGCCUCGCUGCAUUCUGCUCCAAGAGAACUGGAUCCUGUGGCUGGGAUACUUCCUCAUCUACCUGGGUGUGCUGCUGGUUGUCAGUAGUUUCUUAGCUUUAGGAUUCUUUGGUACCUACUUGGGUGAUUAUUUUGGAAUACUCAUGGAUGAGAAAGUAACGAGCUUCCCUUUCAACCUGGUCGGCAAUCCUAUGUAUGUUGGAAGCACAAUCAACUACCUGGGCAUGGCUCUCAUUCGAGCUAGCAGUGCCGGACUGUUUCUGACAGCAGCAGUAGGACUGGCCUACUAUGUAGCAAUUUUAUUUGAGGAACCCUUCACGGAAGAAAUUUACAGGAACAGGAAGAAACAGUCAUAAUCUAAGAUGUCAUGUGUACAGAAGAUCCGUUCCUAUGCAACAUCUUGGUUUUACAUUAUUUUUACACAAUAUUUGUAUUGUAGUUCCAGGCUCGAAUGCAUAUUAGUGGUGCAUUCUCGGAUCCAUGUGUCCCGUUUAGGGAUGGCUGAGGGGCUGUUUUCACUAAUGGGAUAGUAUCUGAUGCAGUUGCAAUAGUAUUGUGAAGUUAUGCAACUAAAAGCAAUAGUAUUGCAACGUAUGCAAUUAUUGCAAUAGUAUUGCGAAGGUAUACACCCACUGCAAUAGUAUUGCAAAGGUAUACAACCACUGCAAUAGUAUUGCAAAGGUAUGCAACUAUAAGCAAUGGUAUAGUGAAGAUAUGCAAUUAUUGCAAUAGUAUUGCAAAGGUAUGCAACCACUGCAAUAGUAUUGCAAAGGUAUGCAACUAUAAGCAAUAGUAUAGUGAAGAUAUGCAAUUAUUGCAAUAGUAUUGCGAAGGUAUACAACCACUGCAAUAGUAUUGCAAAGGUAUGCAACUAUAAGCAAUAGUAUAGUGAAGAUAUGCAAUUAUUGCAAUAGUAUUGCAAAGGUAUGCAACUUUUGCGAUACUAAAACAAUAGUUAUAAACUAAGUUUAAGGCUUGAUGAUUAUCAAAUGAAUGAACCAUAAAGGACAGUGUCAAAGUCGUUUGAUCGGCAUUCUAUAAUUUAGUGAGUCAAUAAUGAAGCAUACGACUUUAUGGAUGACAACUUGUUUAUUGCAAAGAGUCCCGUUACGGUGUAGGUUCUUACACUGUUAUCAAGCUAAAAGUGUUAUCACUGAAAUGUAUCUCUAUCCAAUAAACAAGAAGUUAUUAUCCAUAAAGUCGUGUGCUAAUGGCUGGUUGGAAAUUCAACUGGCUUAUUCUGUGGGUUUGUUUAUGACUAUAGUGCGUUUGGCUCAAAAGCAGACCGAUGUAUUGCAAUCUAACUCGAAAACUUAUAAACAUAAAAUACUCAAUGAAACACUGAUCA